AGUGAACGCUGGCGGCAUGCCUAAUACAUGCAAGUCGAACGAACGCACAGUAAGAGUUCGCCUCUACCGGUGGCGACUGACGGAUGGGUGACACAUAGAUAGGCAACCUAUAUUACGUGGGGGACAUCGUAGGGCCACAUCUGAUAACACCGAAUAUGUUCAACGGCAUAAAGCAGGAGUUCAUGACACUUUUGCUGUCACUUAUAGAUGAAGUCGGAUUAGCUAGUUGGCUGGGUAAAGGCUCACCAAGGCAACGAUGCGUAGCUGGUCUGAGAGGAUGAUCGGCCACACUGGAACUGAGACACGGUCCAGACUCCUACGGGAGGCAGCAGUGGGGAAUAUUCGGCAAUGGGCGCAAGCCUGAUGCAGCCAUGCCGCGUGAGUGAUGAAGGCCUUCGGAUUGUAAAACCCUUUUAUUAGGGAAGAAAAACUGUGUAAGUAACCACGCCUGUUCUGACGGUACCCAAAGAGUAAGCACCGGCUAACUACGUG
rnacentral:rRNA from 1 species